AUCCUCACCUCGGGGUGCGUGGCCUGCCGCGCUGAGAUGCCAUUGGCGAACCCGUAGAACCUGAACCGGCUAGAACCGGCGGAGGGAAAGGUAGCGGUUUCAUCC
rnacentral:ncRNA from 2 species